UACGGGGGGUGCAAGCGUUGUUCGGAAUUACUGGGCGUAAAGGGUGCGUAGGCGGCGCGGUAAGUCGGGUGUGAAAUCUUGGAGCUUAACUCCGAAACUGCAUUCGAUACUGCCGUGCUUGAGGACUGGAGAGGAGACUGGAAUUUACGGUGUAGCGGUGAAAUGCGUAGAUAUCGUAAGGAAGACCAGUGGCGAAGGCGGGUCUCUGGACAGUUCCUGACGCUGAGGCACGAAGGCCAGGGGAGCAAACGGG
rnacentral:rRNA from 1 species